GAUAAUAUGCUACAAUAAACUCGACAGUAAAGUGGAUCGACGGUGGCAACUUCUCACAAAGGUGGUGGUGCUUAUGGGAAUAAGUACUAAAAACUAUGAAAGGAGUUCACUUUUUGUCCGCAUAUGAGAUCGUUCAAACCAUGCUUGGCUUUGGUACUUUCACCAUCGCUUUAGUCAGUUUGAU
rfam:Enterococcus hirae ATCC 9790, complete genome.